rnacentral:rRNA from 1 species
UGUUAAUUGCUUUAUAUAAUUUAUGCUUUGCUGCAUAUUUAUAUAGUAUUAACAUAAUUCAUAUUACUAUAUUUUUCUAGUAUAUGAAACUUUACUUUGAGAAAAUUAGAGUGCUUAAAGCAGGCUUUUGCCUUGAAUACUUCAGCAUGGAAUAAUAAUAAAAGAUUUUUAUCUUUCUUUAUUGGUUCUAAGAUAGAAAUAAUGAUUAAUAGGGACAGUUGGGGGCAUUUGUAUUUAACAGUUAGAGGUGAAAUUCUUAGAUUUGUUAAAGACAAACUAGUGCGAAAGCAUUUGCCAAGGAUGUUUUCAUUAAUCAAGAACGAAAGUUAGGGGAUCGAAGACGAUCAGAUACCGUCGUAGUCUUAACCAUAAACUAUGCCAACUAGAGAUUGGAGGUUGUU